rnacentral:lncRNA from 1 species
UGUAUGGGGUUGCUUCUAUCACAUAAUCGCCCCUCCUACCUCUUGAUGUGGCCUCCUCUUUGUCUUUCAGAGUAGGACAUCUUUUUGAAUGUUUCCAGUCCAUUUGCUAGAAGAUUGCUCAACAUUUGGUUGUAAAUUUUGUUGUUUUUAGGAGAGAAGUUGAGCUCCAGUCCUUCUACUCCGCCAUCUUAUUCCUAUCUCCCUCUGUAGCCAGGAAGGCCUGCAUCUCACCUUCCUAAGGCUUUUAAAAGAAGGGCAAAAGCUGGUCACAAGGAAGAACCAUGUGUGUCAAAACUUUUAAGUUUAAUUAGGUCCCAUUUGCUUAUUUUUGUUUUUGUUGUCAUUACUCUAGGAGGUAGAUCUGAGAAGAUAUUGCUGUGGCUUAUGUCAGAGUGUGUUCAGACUAAGUUUUUCUCUAAGAGUUUUAUUGUAUACAGUCUUAUAUUUAGGUCUUUAGUCCACUUUGAAUUUAUUUUUUUGUCUUUUGUCUCUUUAGGUUGGCUUAUUUAUAGGUAUUUUUUUGAUACAAUGGUAAAUGGGAUUGUUUCCCUAAAUUCUCUUUCUAAUAGUCCAUUGUUAGCAUACAGAAAUGCAGUCAAUUUCUGUGUAUAAAUUUUGCAUCCUUUGCCUUUACCAAAUUCAUUGAUGAGCUCUAACAGUUUUCUGAUAGCAUCUUUAGGAUUUUCAUGUCAUCUACAAACAGUGAUAAUUUUACUUCUUCCUUUCCUAUAUGGAUUCUUUUAUUUCUUUUUCUUCUCUGAUUGCCAUGGCUAGGACUGCCAAAACUUAUGUUGAAUAGUAAUGGCGAUAGCGGGUAUCCUUGUUUUGUUCCUGAUCUUGAUGGGAAUUCUUUCAGCUUUUCACCAUUGAGAAUGAUGUUAGCUCUGGGUUUGUCAUAUAUGGCCUCUAUUACGUUGAGGUAGGUUCCCUCUGUGACCACUUUCUCGAAGGUUGUUAUCAGAAAUUGGUGUUAGAUUUUGUCAAAGGCUUUUUUGCAAAUGUUGAGGGCAUCGUAUGGUUUUUAUUCUUCAAUUUGAUAUCACACUGAUUGAUUUGCAAAUAUUGAAAAAUUCUUGCAUCCCUGAGAUAAAUCCCACUAGAUCAUGGCGUACAAUCCUUUUAAUGUAUUGUUGGAUUCAGUUUGCUAGUAUUUUGUUGAGGAACUUUGCAUCUAUAUUCAUCAGUGAUAUUGGCCUGUAAUUUUCUUCUCUGUGUCUCUUUGUCUUAUUUUAGUAUCAUCAUGAUGGUGGCCUCAUAGAUUAAGUUUGG